GCCUGAUUACCAAGGGCAGUAUUUUCUGGACUUCCACCAACAGUGGAUGCCUAAAGGAUUCUUGAGCUUCCCCUACUCGGGAUCUGCAGUGACCUUGUAGUACACUUCUUAGCCCGUGGCCAAAUGGCCUUGAAGGUCUGUAGCCGUAACAUAGUGAACAAGUCUGAUGACAUGAUAAAUAAGGCUGAGCUUGCCAUUUCAAAACAAGAGUUGUCAAUUUUGCCCUUGUAUGGGAAACUAGACUUCCCAGCCUACUUGUGAUCAUCCUGAUUUUUGGGGUUUGGUCUGAGCUAUAAGUAGUGCAGACAUUCAGGCAUCAGGCUCCAACAUCCCCUCUACAACUUAGGGAUGCCCAGCUUUGGUUUCAGUGCAUAUCAGUAGCAUCCUACAGACCCAAGGGGCUAUACAGUCUGCAUGCUCCAUGCAUGUUGAUGACUGCUUGCCUGACUGUAACUGCAGGGAAGGCAAAAGAGCUCAGAGGUUGUCAAUGCCACACUGGGUUGGUAUUUCAUUUCCUUGCCCUGAUGUUCCAUCACGAAAAACAAAUACAUAAAUAAAGACCUAAACAUUUUUUUGGUUGGAAUGGUCAGGCCAUGCCUGCUUAGCAUCAUCACUACAGAUUGUUAUCAGGUUAACCAAACAUUGUUUUCCCAACCUUCCUGGCGGCUCCUACUUUCAGUUGAGGAAACCGAAUCUUUUAGUUUUCCUGUUCUCUGGACCAAGGUGAUGAUUUCCUGGCUUCUUGAUCUUUUUUUGUUUUCAUUGUAUUUUCAACUCUCUGAAAUGUUUUCACAGAGGGCUUUAAACUCUACUAACCCAGUAUUUUUUCCUUUUGUUUUCUCCACACCCUGAAGUAAGUGGCUUCUCAAAAGCACAGACAGCUAGAGCUAGAUGAAACCUCAGGGAAUAAUUUAGGUCAAUCCCUUUCCUUCGGCUUGAGGAGUAAGGGAAACACAUUGACAAUACCACUUGCUAGGAAUAGAGUCUACAUGUGGCAUUUUGCAAAAUUACCUAAUUUAAACCUUAGAAUAGCUCUGAGAGGUAGAUGUUCUAUCCUCCUGUUUUAGACAAGGAAGCUAUGGUACAGAGAAAUUAACUGGUCUAUGUGAGAUCAUACAGUUAGCUAGUGACAUAGCUGAGACUCAAACCCACGCUUUUUGAAGAUUAGGCCAGGGUUCUCCUCUCAACUAUACUGGCCUGGCUGAGGCCUGCCAACUAGGUCUAGCUUUUGCUGGAAGUGGACUUAAGGCAAGAGGGCUCUAAGAAAGGUUCUGACACAGGGAAUUUAAUUAAAGGUUAAAUUCUGGCAAUUGUUAUUAACAUUUUAUAUAGCUUUAGCAGAGAUAUCAGUAGCAGACUAUAACAUGCUAUUGUCACAGUAAGAUGGAUUAGGAAAGGUUUUCAGCAGAGAAAAUGGUGAAAUGGUUAAUGUUUUCACAAGAAAAUGGAGUGUCCGUCCUAAACAGGAAGAACUGGCUUGAAUUCAAAAUGAUUAUAUAAUUCCUGACUUCAGUCAUGGCACUCUCUUAAGUAGGAGUAAAUUCAUGCUUCCAGAUGGCUGCCAGGAAACUGGAAACACUGGUUGUUGCAGGCACAAAGUACCUUAAAGACACAGGUUGUAUACUGAAUUGUCCUAAAUAGAACCUCCAUGGAAACUGAGGGAAGACUAUACUUGGUUUGUUUGGAACUUUACAAAAGCUGUUCACUAUUUUAAAAAAUUACAUCAUGGGCAGCAAAGCUGAUCACAGGUUUUGAGUUAUCAAUACAAUGAACCCGGAUCGGUCUGAAUUGUAGCUGUCCUACUCAUGGUAAUUCUAUAUUCAGAAUCUAUGCACUUGAUUAUGCCUUCUGGUUGGUCAUGCCUGGGUAUGUACAUAUUAGAAAACAUGUAAUUUGACUAUAAAUUCCUUUCAUUUUUCCUUUUUAUUAAAAUUAGAGUAUUUUAUUGCACUUUUGGAAUUAUAUAUAGGUAGGUUCCAUUAACUAUGACUUUCAUUUCAGGAUAGGAAAGGACAUGAUAUAAAAAGGAUUACAAUAGGUUUGAGAAUGACUAGUGAGAGAUGGAGAUAUAUAAAUUGAAUUGAAUACAAAGGAAUCCAUGAAAGCACUUCAGAGAGGUAAAAAGUAAAGGGGAGAACCAGGAAGAGAGAUUAUUGGCCAUGAGAGAUCUGGGAAAGCUCAUGGAGGAGAGAUUAUUGACCAUGGGAGAUCUGGGAAGACUCACGGAGGAAGAAUGAAAUGAGCGGGUGCUGAUUGAUAUCCUUCAUUAGAAUAACUCCAGAAAUGUGGGGCUUAGUACCCACCUUGGAACCUGUCUCCAGUGAGGCCCAGUCAUUCUGGCACGGCUUUGUUAUCAAUUUCUUUUCCAUGCUCUUCCUGUAUCUUCCCGACAAAGGCCUUUGUUCUGGGAGGCUCCAAUGGGCAGAGUAUGAUGAAUCCGAUGAAUCCCUAACCUCUGUGGUGUCUCUUCUGGAAUCUGAAAACUGUGGUCUCUGUAAUACUUUCUGGUUAAUCUUCUCUUCUUUAGGCUAAACCUCUCUACUUCCUCCAACUGUUUCUCAUAUAAUUCGGUUUCAUAUUUCCUCACCAUCUGGAUCAUUUUCCUCUGAACAUGCUGCAAUUUGUCAAUGGCCCUUUAAAAGUGUGAUGCCUAGAACCCAAUGUGGCUUCCAGAGUUGAAACAUGUAACUGUAUUUCCUAAUAUUUCCAAAAGGCAAAAAUGUUAUCCCUUUGCACAGGCAGUGAGAUCAGGACAGAGGAGGGGGGUGGGGACGGUCUGUCUUAAUAAUCCCUGUAUUGCCAGUAUUGGAAAAUUUCGUUUUUUGUUUGAGCAAGUUCUAUAUGAUUUUUUAAUACUUGCAAGUAGACUUCUGAUCUCAAAGAGGGUUUUUCCCCCUUUGUUCAUUUUUGUUGUGAGGAUUAAAUGAAAAAAUGUAGGUCUGCCUAACAAAUACUAACAAUUACUUUUAUUUGCUGAUAGCAUCCAUCUACUAGCAUCCUAUGGUCAUUUCCCAUCUGAAGACAUUUUUCUCUUAACAGACUGUGCCCUGCCCAUGUCCCAAGUGAUCUAACCAAGACUGGCGGGAACACCACCCUUUCCAGGGGCUUGGUCUAUAAAAUGGAAUUAGUAUUUCUGCCUUAAGCUUGAAUCUGGUAUGUAUCUGGAAAACCUCUGCAUUCCUGCGUGUCUAGUAAACCUCAGCUUUAGCCCCAAAAUGCAAAAUUCCAUCAAGGCUCCUGAUUUUUCAUCCCAUUUUGGUCUGAGACCGAAAUCCUGCAGCAACUUGACUGGCUAUUGUGAACAUGUUGUCUACACAGGCUAAAACAGUACCAGUUUAUCUCAUUCUAGAUGCUAGGGGCCCCCAAAACCACAGCAAUACCACCCACUGGUUUGAACUUAAUGGAAACUAUAGCAGACCUCUGCAUAAGGAAGUCACUCUGACAUGAAUACUAGCUUGCUAUCCUCCUUGAAUGCAAUGACUUCAAGAAGUGGGAGACAGGUUAGCCAAGGAAGUCUAAGUACUUUAUGUUAUACUUGCCAGCUGCCCAAGUUUCAACGUGCCUUUACAGCUGAACAGACCAGUUCCAAGGUAAACUAAAUGACAGCAGGCAUAUUUGUCUGUUUUGUUAGCUGAUGUAUCCCUCACCCUUAGAAUAGUGCCAAACACAUAAGAGGUGCUCAACAAACAUUAGUGGAAUUAACUAAUAAAAUGAUCUGGUAUGCUAGACAUCUGUUUUUGUUUUUCUCAGUAUUCCUUUCGUCUGAGAAUCGCUUCUUUCCCAUUCCAUGUUAUUCUGGUGGAGCUGUCAGUCAUGAAACAGAACAAGCUAACAAAUGGUGCCAUGAGUCUAGGGGCUCAUGGAGAUACAAGUCCCUAAUUUCUAGAUUCCCUACAGUAAGCAUGUAUCUGUAGUGCUUCUUACUUCUAGAGAAUUUGAGGCAUACAAUCAGGAGCGUUGAUGAAUGUGGGUGGUACAUGCUGCAGGUAGAUUUAUUCAGAGGCUCAACUUUAUGUGAACAUUUAUCACAAAAUCCAAGCCAACAGGAUA